CAGAAAAUUUGACCCAACAUCUAAAUGACCAAUGGGCUGAUAUGGUUUCAUCUUCUGACCAAUGAAACCGGGACUCUCCCUCUCAAGCCUGGGUGUGACCUCUCUGCCUCUGUUGGAGGAAGUGAUGAAACAGCUGCUGCAGGAGGUUGUUUGGGUUGUUUCUGCUCUCUCACUUCUUCCAGGGUGUGACCGGCAGGUGCAGCCACCUGAGCUGCAGCUCAUUACUGAUCUUUAGGAGGAGCUUAAAGAGAGCCUGGAUCCCCAGAACAGACGCCAGAGCGGUUGCUUUCAUGAGCGUAGAUCUCUUGGAAGCAUUGUCAAAAAUCCGAAAGACUCAUUCCUUAAGUUGGCACCUACUGGGGAACCAUUGCCCAAACCUCCUUCCUCAUUUCACGGCUGCAGCUCACCUGGUGCUCACACAGAAACCCUCACCACCACCGCUUCCUUACUCACCUGCCUGUCCACCCUCCUUGCUCCUUGGAUUCCAUCUGAAAAACAGAAAGACUAUCUUAACAACCCAAACUCCUGUCAAACUCAGCUCAGUGACGUGACCUUUUUUCCUCCUGGAUCAUCCUUCACUUCAAGAACAUGGCCGCUUGGAGACCUGUCUCAAGCUUGACUGACAGCCUCCUCUUAAAUCUUGUUAAAAGAAAGAAAGAAAUAUAUUUUGAAACCC